rnacentral:rRNA from 1 species
CCUACGGGAGGCAGCAGUGGGGGAUAUUGCACAAUGGAGGGAACCCUGAUGCAGCGACGCCGCGUGGGUGAAGAAGCGCCUCGGCGCGUAAAGCCCUGUCAGCAGGGAAGAAAAUGACGGUACCUGGAGAAGAAGCCCCGGCUAACUACGGACCAGCAGCCGCGGUAAUAAGUAGGGGGCAAGCGUUAUCCGGAUUUACUGGGUGUAAAGGGGGCGCAGACGGAGAAGCAAGCCAGGAGUGAAAGCCCGGGGCCCAACCCCGGGACUGCGCUUGGAACUGCGUGGCUGGAGUGCAGGAGGGGCAGGCGGAAUUCCUGGUGUAGCGGUGAAAUGCGUAGAUAUUAGGAGGAACACCAGUGGCGAAGGCGGCCUGCUGGACUGCAACUGACGUUGAGGCCCGAAAGCGUGGGGAGCAAACAGGAUUAGAUACCCUUGUAGUC